rnacentral:rRNA from 1 species
AGUGAACGCUGGCGGUAGGCCUAACACAUGCCAGUCGAACGGCAGCACAGUAAGAGCUUGCUCUUACGGGUGGCGAGUGGCGGACGGGUGAGGGAUACAUCGGAAUCUACUUUUUCGUGGGGGAUAACGUAGGGAAACUUACGCUAAUACCGCAUACGACCUACGGGUGAAAGCAGGGGAUCUUCGGACCUUGCGCGAUUGAAUGAGCCGAUGUCGGAUUAGCUAGUUGGCGGGGUAAAGGCCCACCAAGGCGACGAUCCGUAGCUGGUCUGAGAGGAUGAUCAGCCACACUGGAACUGAGACACGGUCCAGACUCCUACGGGAGGCAGCAGUGGGGAAUAUUGGACAAUGGGCGCAAGCCUGAUCCAGCCAUACCGCGUGGGUGAAGAAGGCCUUCGGGUUGUAAAGCCCUUUUGUUGGGAAAGAAAAGCAGCAGGUUAAUACCCCGCUGUUCUGACGGUACCCAAAGAAUAAGCACCGGCUAACUUCGUG